AACGCGAAGAACCUUACCAAGGCUUGACAUAUACGAGAACGCCGCAGAAAUGUGGAACUCUUUGGACACUCGUAUACAGGUGGUGCAUGGUUGUCGUCAGCUCGUGUCGUGAGAUGUUGGGUUAAGUCCCGCAACGAGCGCAACCCUCGUCGUAUGUUGCCAGCACGUAAUGGUGGGAACUCAUAUGAGACUGCCGGGGUCAACUCGGAGGAAGGUGGGGAUGACGUCAAAUCAUCAUGCCCCUUAUGUCUUGGGCUUCACGCCUGCNAACAANGGCCCGNACANAAACGCUGCCANUGUCCCAAAGGNGGAACNAAUUCCCACAAAACCCGNCCCCACAUCC
rnacentral:rRNA from 1 species